AAAGGGCCGCGGUAAUCUGACCGUGCGAAGGUAGCAUAAUCAUUUGUCUUUUAAUUGGAGGCUGGAAUGAACGGUUGGACGAGGGAUUAACUGUUUCUCUUAUAAUAUUUAUAAUUUUACUUUUAAGUGAAAAGGCUUAAUUUCUGUUAAGGGACGAUAAGACCCUAUAAAACUUAUUAUAAAAAAUAAAUUACAUUACGUUUAAUAAAGUAAAGAAUGAGGUGUUUAUUAUUUAUUUGGUUGGGGCGACAAGAAUAAAAGUUUUAAUUAUCUGUUACUAUUAAUAAGUUAAUAAUAAUUAAAAGUUGAGCCUUCCAUGAAGAUCAAGAAAACAAGUUACUUUAGGGAUAACAGCGUAAUUUUCUUUGAGAGAUCUAAUCGACAAGAGUAGUUGCGACCUCGAUGUUGAAUUAAAAUUUUCUCCCUAAUGCAGGAGUUCGGGAAGUAAGUCUGUUCGACUUUUAAAAUUUUACAUGAUUU
rnacentral:rRNA from 1 species